GUCGAACGGUGAGACAGGAGAGCAAGCUUGCUUCUUUGCUGACGAGUGGCGGACGGGUGAGUAAUGUCUGGGAAACUGCCUGAUGGAGGGGGAUAACUACUGGAAACGGUAGCUAAUACCGCAUAACGUCGCAAGACCAAAGAGGGGGACCUUCGGGCCUCUUGCCAUCGGAUGUGCCCAGAUGGGAUUAGCUAGUAGGUGGGGUAACGGCUCACCUAGGCGACGAUCCCUAGCUGGUCUGAGAGGAUGACCAGCCACACUGGAACUGAGACACGGUCCAGACUCCUACGGGAGGCAGCAGUGGGGAAUAUUGCACAAUGGGCGCAAGCCUGAUGCAGCCAUGCCGCGUGUAUGAAGAAGGCCUUCGGGUUGUAAAGUACUUUCAGCGGGGAGGAAGGGAGUAAAGUUAAUACCUUUGCUCAUUGACGUUACCCGCAGAAGAAGCACCGGCUAACUCCGUGCCAGCAGCCGCGGUAAUACGGAGGGUGCAAGCGUUAAUCGGAAUUACUGGGCGUAAAGCGCACGCAGGCGGUUUGUUAAGUCAGAUGUGAAAUCCCCGGGCUCAACCUGGGAACUGCAUCUGAUACUGGCAAGCUUGAGUCUCGUAGAGGGGGGUAGAAUUCCAGGUGUAGCGGUGAAAUGCGUAGAGAUCUGGAGGAAUACCGGUGGCGAAGGCGGCCCCCUGGACGAAGACUGACGCUCAGGUGCGAAAGCGUGGGGAGCAAACAGGAUUAGAUACCCUGGUAGUCCACGCCGUAAACGAUGUCGACUUGGAGGUUGUGCCCUUGAGGCGUGGCUUCCGGAGCUAACGCGUUAAGUCGACCGCCUGGGGAGUACGGCCGCAAGGUUAAAACUCAAAUGAAUUGACGGGGGCCCGCACAAGCGGUGGAGCAUGUGGUUUAAUUCGAUGCAACGCGAAGAACCUUACCUGGUCUUGACAUCCACGGAAGUUUUCAGAGAUGAGAAUGUGCCUUCGGGAACCGUGAGACAGGUGCUGCAUGGCUGUCGUCAGCUCGUGUUGUGAAAUGUUGGGUUAAGUCCCGCAACGAGCGCAACCCUUAUCCUUUGUUGCCAGCGGUCCGGCCGGGAACUCAAAGGAGACUGCCAGUGAUAAACUGGAGGAAAGGUGGGGGAAUAACCUCAAAUCUUCUUGGGCCCUUACACACCAG
rnacentral:rRNA from 1 species